GUUUGUGUAUAAUUAUUAUAUAUGCCCUAUAAGUUUUGUUUUCACUUACCUACCUCAUUUUUUAUAGACUCUUUUUAGCCUGAUCCUGUUGGUUUACGCAGACAACGAAGUCAUCGUAGAUCCUUCCAUCGGCGUAGAUCAAUUAACCGCAAAUAGCCUUUAUGAAACAAUAUUUGCCGACUUUUACAAACCUCAGAAGGCACAAACAUCAAGCAAAAAAAGCUCUAAAAAUAGAAACACUUCGAACUUCAAAAACCAGGGUUUACAAGCCCGUGGUAUCAGUUAUGGCUCCGAUAAUAAAAAUAAGCAAUUAAAUAACAAUGACAAGAAUAUGAAAUUUGUUUCUGAUGGUCAUUUUAAUUAUUUACAAUCCAUGGGUGGUUACAAGGCUGAGUAUGACAGCAGAUUAAUAGGUCGGAAAGGAAUAGGUUUUGAUAAAAGAACAGCGACUACUUAUGGAUUUAGAGCACCGAUUACCGCCAAGCAGCUAGAGGUGGUUGGACAGAAAUAUCAAAAGAAAGAUUAUAAUGAAGACAAGCUGUAUCCCUUACUAAUUUAAUUGAUGCAAAUAAAAAAUAUAUAAUUA